rnacentral:tRNA from 1 species
GCUGUUAUAGUAUAAAAAUUACUUUAUCUUUUCAUGAUAAGAAUGAGAAUCUGAUCUCUAACAGUU